rnacentral:rRNA from 1 species
GGCGGACGGGUGAGUAAUGCUUGGGAACAUGCCUUGAGGUGGGGGACAGCAGUUGGAAACGACUGCUAAUACCGCAUAAUGUCUACGGACCAAAGGGGGCUUCGGCUCUCGCCUUUAGAUUGGCCCAAGUGGGAUUAGCUAGUUGGUGAGGUAAUGGCUCACCAAGGCGACGAUCCCUAGCUGGUUUGAGAGGAUGAUCAGCCACACUGGGACUGAGACACGGCCCAGACUCCUACGGGAGGCAGCAGUGGGGAAUAUUGCACAAUGGGCGCAAGCCUGAUGCAGCCAUGCCGCGUGUGUGAAGAAGGCCUUCGGGUUGUAAAGCACUUUCAGUCAGGAGGAAAGGUUAGUAGUUAAUACCUGCUAGCUGUGACGUUACUGACAGAAGAAGCACCGGCUAACUCCGUGCCAGCAGCCGCGGUAAUACGGAGGGUGCGAGCGUUAAUCGGAAUUACUGGGCGUAAAGCGUAC